GCGAGUGCAGUGAUGAUGCAAUAGUAUGUGGACUAGAGUUUCUGAUACCUGGUGGCUUUCACUCCCCAGUGGUUGAAGACUAACCCUUGGCUGUCUGAGCACUCUC